CAAAAAAGAAGGCGGCUGGGACAGGGGACAGCUGGCCUCCGCCCCCAGCCCUCCUCUGCACCUAAGGGCUGCAGACUCAGCAGGCGGGCGCUGGCAUGCACCCUCCCAUUUCUAUCCAGUCUGCCCCAGACUGGAAGCUGAGCCCCGGGAGGCAGCAAAAGACACCGGGAGAGGGGCUGGAGAAGGCCAAAACAAGAGCAGGGGAAUCACAGUCAAGGUUGCGGAGCCACAAAAGACAGCAUGCAGACCGCGGACCUGCCACACGGAGAAGCCCUGUGGAUGGCAGGAGGCCAGGGAAGGAUGUGGAGAGGGGCCUGGAGGGAGGGGCGGCAGCACCCACGAACCGAAGAGCGGGAACUUGUGCGUGCAACUGGUCCCCCGGAACGUUGGACUUCACCAUCAGAGGGUACCACCAAGGACUUUGAGGUAGGGGGUGCGGCGAAAGGACAGGACACAAAGGCUAAACACAGCUACGCAGAAAACAGAAAGAAACCUUUCUGAGAACCAACCAGGAAGCUUAAAAACAAUCGAAACCCUGGAGCGACUUUGCAAUGAAAAAGCUGAAGAGGCAAAGAAAGACAAAUCCAGAUCGGAGAGUGAGGGAAGGGAAGAGUUAGAAGCCAAGGAAAGCAAACUGCACCAGGAACUAAAAGGAAAAAUUAAAUCAAUAAAGGAAAUUUUCAAAAAUCAUGCCAGAGCGAACUUGUUCCUGAAACUGCCAACAGAGGGAGGAAAAAAGGGUGGGGGCACCGAACAUACUGGAGAAACCAAAAGUAAAGAAAGGAAGGGAGUGAAGACAGGAUGCAAAUUAAACCAGACACGACAUGGAUAUCUGUUCCAAGACAAUCUUCUCAUCAUAGAUGUGGCAGGACAGCUAACAGGUGUCUGGGCUCUGUGCAUCCUCAUCUAUGAUGUGAGUUUUGAGUGAGACCAACUAUGACAGAUAAUCCCAGAAGACAGGUCAAAUGGAUGCAAGCUGCUGCUACUGCAAUACAUUCAAAUGAUAUCAUCAACAGAAAGGGAACUUGGGGCUGAGAACAGAAGGUGACCAAAGCUGACCUGGGAGCACUAUAGAGAGACUGGGAGGGAAAUCUAAAGAAUGGAGAAGAUGGAAGAUGGUUUCUUAUCUGAUUGAAAAUAUCGAGAGAACUCUGCUAGGGCCUCUGUACUGGGUCUCACAGCCACGAAAGGAGCAUUUCUCAGGUUGCUUUGUUCGCUUCUCCUUUGCUCCAUGGAUACC
rnacentral:lncRNA from 1 species